ACAAAGGCUUUUUGAGUUAUCUGAAAGAAGAAAAGCCAUUCACCAUAAAAAAAAAUUCUUUU
rfam:Phaethon lepturus contig119478, whole genome shotgun sequence.